CUUCGGCCUGCCCCUCUCUGACUAUUCUACCCGUGUCUUUUGCGUACUAUUUGUUUCCUCGGUGGGCUUGCCCGCCGAUAGGACACUAUAAAAACCUUUUGUAAUUGCAGUCAGCGUCAGUAAAAACUUAAUAGUUACAACUUUCAACAACGGAUCUCUUGGUUCUGGCAUCGAUGAAGAACGCAGCGAAAUGCGAUAAGUAGUGUGAAUUGCAGAAUUCAGUGAAUCAUCGAAUCUUUGAACGCACAUUGCGCCCCUUGGUAUUCCAUGGGGCAUGCCUGUUCGAGCGUCAUUUGUACCCUCAAGCGUUGCUUGGUGUUGGGCGUCUUGUCCCGCGUUUGCGUGUGGACUCGCCUUAAAGCGAUUGGCAGCCGGCAUAUUGGCCUUGGAGCGCAGCACAAUUUGCGUUUCUAGUCAUGAAUGUUGGCGUCCAUUAAGCCUAUAACAUUUGCUCUUGACCUCGGAUCAGGUAGGGAUACCCGCUGAACUUAAGCAUAUCAAUAA
rnacentral:misc_RNA from 1 species